rnacentral:lncRNA from 1 species
CAUGUUUACAGUACCUGAUGAUUACCUUCUAUACAGUAAGAUGCAUCCAUUUGCCUACAAAUAACUCAAGUUUAUCCAUUAUGGCCGACUAGUAAUAAAUACAUUGUGUUUAAAUACCACACUGUAGGACUGGAGAUUUAGCUCAGUGGAACAGCAUCUACCGGGCAAACACAAGGUUCUGAAUUUGAUCCCCAGUAACACACACACACACACACACACACACACACACACACACACACACUUUAUCCAUUCAAUAUGUACUUUUUUUUUGUACCAGGGAUCAAACUCAGGACUUUGCAGCACCACUGAGCUAAGUCCCCAGCCCUAAUAUGUAUUUUAAAUCAGUGAUAUUACACAUUUAAUAGUCUAGAGUAGAAUAUCAAUAUAAUUUUAUAUGCACUCAGAAACUUUGUGUGACUCGGUUAUAGCAAUAUUUGCUUUAUUGCAGUGGUCUGAAACCCAGCCUACAAUGUCUUCAAGAUACACCUGUACCCUGAUUUAAACAGCAGAGGAAUUUGUAAAAAGGAAAGCAGGUAGCCCACAAGAUCACCAUAAAUUAUACAUAUGCAAGUACAGGCCCAGUAUGGCAGAACAAGGUGACCUACCCUCAUGUUGGCUUCAGUGGAGGCCAAAGCAAGAACACUGGAGAUGACGGAAACUCUGAGGACUACGUGCAGCCAGAAAGCCAGGUGGUUGGAAAGCACUAGUGGAAACAUUGCCAGAGGGGUUAGAACGGUAGAGCAGAAACGUUUAGCUGGGAAAGCGCUGAAUGGUCAGGAAUUCUGUUCGUCCAGUGAAAGGGAGAAGGACCCGCGGAGUCAGUCCUACGGCCCGGAGCCCCUUCCUGCUCGGCGAGCCCGGAUCCCGGGAGCGCGAAAACCCCAGGCGCCUCCGCCGCGGCCGCCUUCACAAACAGCAGCCCUGCGAGUCAACCCUGCGCUUUAGAGUCCACACCAGCGGUGUCGCCACGGCUCCGGGUGAAGAGCUGUAACACGAAGAUGGCCCCGCGCCUUCUGUCCGGACCCGAGCCGGCGAAGAGCGCCCCCAAUGAAGCAACGCCGAGCGCCGAGGGCGCAGGCGCAGGAGAGCUGGGCGUCUACCCAGGGCGGGGCCUCCGGCUCGCGCCUUCCGAGCCGCAGGCCGUUUACUUUCA